GGAUUUGAAAUAGCUCAAGUGAAAUUCCAUCACCUCUGCUAGCUUUUUUCGUUGGAGGUAAAGUCCAAUGUUGUAAAGAACAAUAUUACAUAGGAACCUGGAAUGUUAGGUCCAUGAAUCAAGGUUUUCCUUGAAACAUACAAUAUUGCUAUCUCAAACUUGGAACAUUUGAGAUCUCAUCCAUAAACCAAAAUGUACUUCCUCUAUGGUCUUCUCUGUUUAUGCUGUUGAGAGUCACCCAGGAACGCCAUCUUGGUCUAUGACCUCUCAAGCAAUCUCCCUAUCUUGUUGAUUAUCUUUUUGUAACGUCCUUCUGCACCUAUUCCUCUCCUCUCACACUGCCAACACCCAAGCUCUGCUCACCUGGAGAUGUGACUGCCCUUCCCCCCACUAGUCUCUUUCCCUGCCUGCCCUGAUCCCGUCAAAUCCCACCGGCUCCACACCCACACUCUUGGUUAUAAAGCAUCUCCUUCCAUCACGUCAGCGAGGAAGCAGACGUGCUGGCACCGAGUUCUAGGCUCAGCUUGCCUUUCUCAAUGUUUUUACUCCUUUGGGGAGAAGAUGAAUGACAGGCCAGUUAAGUUAUGAAUGGCAGGAAGCCGGGGUGGGGGUGGGAAGGCCAGAGUUGGCUGGAUAAUCAAAUAAGUCAGAUAAACAUUUAAAUAUUUGAUUUUAACUUCAGACAUGUAGAUGUGCAUCUGUCUGCCAAGCUUUUGAUGCGGGGCCAAGGCAUUUUCUUUGAGUGUGCGUCUGCUGGUUCUGUGUUCUUUCUUGCAUGAACCUUGCCCGCGGUACAUCAUCUUCAGUUUCAUUAAAGUGAAGUGAUUCCUUAGAGAAGCUUGGGAAGUUAUCUGGGUUCAGCAUCUCCUGUUUUUUAUAACCUCUCCCGGGUCCUUUCCAUAUAGCUCCUCCACAGCUCCGUUGACAGCCCUUCUUUUGAAAAUUUAGCGGCUUACUUUUUUUGAGGCUUUCCAGUGGAGGUUUCAUAGAAACAAGGGCCCUUCUCUGGCUGUUCUCAGUGGGACGAAAGCCUGCACAUUUGGCUGUUGAGAGCUCAACCACCAUGAGCAGUGCUCACCUUGGACAGUGGUUGAAGGGCUGCACAGAGGGUAAGCUACAAAGGGCUGCAAAGCGUAAGCUACGCUGGCUAGUGCACAGCAUCAAGAUGGGUCAGGAGGGGUUUUCUGUUUCAAGUUUGGAUGACUAUCAACUGAGACAACCUAAUCAGAUGACAAAUCUGGGAUAGAAAUCUAAAGUCUUUGCCAUAGAUCCAAAAAAAUGAAUGGCACCCUUACCUUGUGAUAAAUACUUCUGUUAUCUGGGAGACAGGAUUUCAGUAGAAUGAAAGGUUUAUGUCGAGUCACCCAUGGAAUGUGGCUGCCCAUGGAAGCUAAUGUCAUCUUCAGUCACUGACCGUCUCCCCAGUUCCUGUCCAUCCCUCCUCCUCCCUGUACAGCCAUGUGGCCACGGGGAUAUUGUCCAUGAGUUGUCAAAUCCAAUCUGGGCGACUCCAUCUUUCUUUCUAUGGAUGUGAUCCAUCAAUAUACAGAAUUUCUCUGACUACAGGAAUUGGUUCAGGGGCAUACAGGUGGCCUAGUUUGGCUUAAUGAGGCAUGAGAACACAUUGACUGGAGACAUUUGUAAAAUAAAGUACUGCUGAUUCUCCUAUCCUCUUCUGGAGGAGAUUCUGGAAUCUCCUAUCCUUUUCUGGAGAGAGAUUCCAGCCCUCUUACCUUGGAAGGUGUGGUGUGUGGAUGCGAAGCCUAGAAUGGCUGCACCCUUUUUACCACCAGAGAGAAACCCACCCAGGGAUGAUGAUACUGAUGUCACAAAGGUCAAAGGAACAGAUGGAGGAAAACAGUCCUUGAUGACAUCCCUGAAUGAGACCAGCUCUACCCCACAGCCUUUCGGUUACAUGGACCCAUAGCAUUCUCUUAAGCCUUUUGAGUUCAGUUUUCUGUUACUUGGCACAUGGAGAAUCUCAGCUGCCAUGGAGAUGAGAGCCCUUGCUUCCUAUGGGGGUGACAUGUAUGUGUGGAAUACUUCAUUGGCUUCUGGGCCGUUGUCUUUUUGAGGCGCGUUGAGGAACUGCAGAGUGGCUGAUACAGAGCUCUAGGCUGGGGAAGGGGUGUGGAAUCCAGGUUUAAAGAGCACAUACAAGAGUGGUGACAGUCCACUUUUAUGUGUAGAUUCCUAACAGCACUUCUUUAAAUGGAAAGCUCACUGCAUACAUUUUUUGAAAGGGUAAGGUUUUAUAGCAACAUGAAAUUGUUACCGUUUUGGGAGCAUCUGUGUUGCACGAGAUGAGAUGUACUUGUGGCUUCCGUGAUCGUGCCGGGAAUAGCAAGAGAACAUUUCCACAAAGGCACAGGAUGAUUCGAAUGAGAAGAAACUGUUUUGUCUCGUCAUUUUGUGGGAGGGGAAGCCCACACCCCAAACUGUCAUCAUUCUAGUGUGGAAACAGCCACUGGAGUGUUGCUUUCACAAGAUGCUAUCACAGGCUGGCCCUUGAGGGAGCGGGGAGUUCCGGAGAUUUCCAUCUGGGGAGCAGCAUCCCUGGACCACUGAAUCCUCUUCCUGCCAUGAUACAGACUGUCGGUAGGAAGAGACUUUCUUCUUUUUUAAAAAUAUGUAUUUAUUUGGCUGUGCCUGGUCUUUAGUUGCGGCAUGUGGGAUCUUUGAUCUUCAUUGUGGCAUUCGGGGUCUUUCGUGGCAGGCCUGGGAACUCUUAGCUGCAGCACGUGGAAUCCAGUUCUCUGACCAGGGAUCGAACUCGGGCCCCCUCCAUUGGGAACUUGCAGUCUCAGUCACUGGACCACCAGGGAUGUUCUGGUGGAAGGAGACUUCUAAAUGUCCUGCAGCUCAUUCCCCAGGAUUCCUGUGGGCGUCUGUGGCUUUGGUCUUAUUCUUUGCACAUUAAUGCUUCCUUCUAAUACUUAGAGCAGCGUGGCUGCUUGUACCAGGGUGCUGUGGAAACAUGUGAGAGGGAAGAGCUGUGUGACCCUCACACAUAGUUGGGUGCUCAAAAGGGAGCUGCUGGGUACUUCCCUGAUGGUCCAGUGAUUAAGAAUCUGCCUGGCAAUGCAGGGAAUGUGUGUCUGAUCCCUGGUUGGGGAAUGAAGAUCCCACAUACCACGGAGCAACUAAGUCUGUGUGCUGUAACUAAAGAUCCCACAUGAUGCAACAAAGCCCACAUGCCACAAAUGAGCGCUGAGGCAGCCAAAUAGAUAAAUAAAUAAGUAAUUUUUUAAAAAAGAGCUGCCAUUUGGGCUGUGUUCAAUCAGUCAACAAAUAGGUGUGGAGUGCCUACUCUCUGUUCCAGGUACUGAGGAGUCAGCAGUGAAAAACCAGACAAGCUCAGUCCUUGGGAACUCACAUUCCAGUGGGGAGACAGUGGUACCCACUCGGGAAGAACUGUCAGCUCUUCUAACCACUCUCUUUCCUGGGUCUCACUGAUACCGAGUAUGGGGUAUCCAAGUCAGGGCUCCUUGUAAGAAUCUUCCAGAUGGCUUUUUGCAUUUAGUGAUAGAGCCUGGGCUUCCCUGGUGGCCCAGAUGGUAAAGAAUCUGCCUGUAGUGCAGGAGACCCGGGUUCAAUCCCUGCGUCGGGAAGCUCCCCUGGAGAAGGCAAUAGCAACCCACUCCAGUGUUCUUGCCUGGAGAAUUCCGUGGACAGAGGGACCUGGUGGGCUACAGUCCACGGGGUCGCAAAAAGCCAGACACGACUGAGCGAUUAACAUUUUCACUAGAGCCUACAUAAGAUGGAUUUCUGCUGUUUAUUAAAACCACUUCAUAAAAACCAGGUAGCAUCCCAUUUGUGUUCAUUUAAAAGAUCACUCUUUUUCUUAUUCUUUUUAUGAGGGCUAUUUGUAUUUUUUUAAUGUAGCAAGAGAAAGUAGGUGUAGGGAGAUAAGUCAUCAUGGUACCUCCAUAAACAAGCUUUAAAAUCAUUCGGUUACUAUUUGGGGAUACAGUGGAGACCACCAUAUGGGUCCUGCCCUCGAGGGAGUGACACUCUAGCGGGGCAUGCACACCAGCGGUUCCAGGAGGGGGUGGUCAGUGUUACAGGAGGGUUAGAACAAGCGCUGAGGAAGUAGGAAGAAGAGGCACCUGGCCCAGAUGUGUGGGGCAGGAUCAGGGGAGACUUCCUGGACGAAGUGAAAGCAUCUUGAAACAGAACAUUGCCGUCGCUGUCGUCAGCAUCACCAGCAUCACCAUCAUUGUCCAUCACCAUCACCAUGGUAGCUGGCAUUCAUUGGUUACCCGCUGUGUGCCUGGCACUGUGCUCUUUGCAUGCGUUGUCCCAUUUUGUGCCUAACAUCAUGCUUGAAAGUUAUUAUUCUCACUUAAGAGGUGAAGAAAACGAGGCCCAUGCAAGUUAGGCAGUUUGAUCACAGUAAGUUUGUCAGUUUCAGGCUCAGGCUGUCUGCCUUGGGGCUUCAUCUUACCAUCCGUGCUCGGAGGACGAGUGGGCGUUGGCCAGGUGGGGAGCAUUCCAGGGAGAGGGGGUCCGUGGCAUGGUGCAGAGGUGACAGAGAGCUGGGGUCAGUGAGGGCCCACAGAAACUCUUAUGUGGCUGGCUGAGAGAUGGGGCUGGACGAAUGGCAGGGUCCAGUCCCCAAGCCCUUCUUGGCCAUGUCUUGUGUUUGGACUUUGUCUAAUGCCAUCAGGAGGAAGAUACUGAAGCAUUUUAAACAAGAGGGAGCCACAGCUGUUUUGUAAAGCUGUGGAAGGACCACCCUGGUCACAAAGUGGAGGAUGGGGAGACUGGGGCAGGGGCUGUCUGAAGUCACCUACCUCCCACACAUGAGAGUCCUGGGGCUGGAAAAAGGGGAUCACCCUCUGAGCAGGUGGUCAUUCUCAGAGUCCCUCUGGGCAUCCUUCCCCUUGCUGGGGAGGCCCAGUCACCACUUUCCUUCCUCGGGGCAGUGACCCCCUCCCUCUGUGUGGGGCUCUGGGCCAGUGCCCGUUGGCCCAAUAAACUUUCCAAUGGAUUCAUCUGAUGCAGGAAACCAUAGCACUGGCCUUUUAUGUCACUUCUUCGUGAAGGCUGAGGAAAGGGUCCACAUUGAGCCAGACUUAUGCUUCCUAUAGCGCUGACAGUUUUGAGGGUGGGGAAUAGUAGGGUUUAGAGCCGAGAUCUCCCAAGCUUCUCCUAUGCCAUGGUCUCUUGACCCUCGAACCUGGUCCAGGGACAGGGCAGUCCAUCAGAUCCACUCCUCUCAAGGCUGAAGAGUCUGGCCCAGAAGCAGCCAGAGGAGUCCCCGACGUCCCAGGUAAUAAGGACACUCCUUGGGCAUCCUGCCCCAGGGAACGCACCUUCUGCCCAGGAGCAGGAGUAGCAGCCCCAGAUGCACCAGGAGGCUACACAAAGCCCCUUUUCCCUUGUUCUCUGCCAUUGUCCCCUCCUCCUCUGAGGUUGCAGCAUGGCUUUGCCUCACUUUGUAUGAACCCGGGAGGGGGUGUUGGGGCUGCCAUGUCUGGAGCCCAGUGUGGCACAGCACACUAGGUGAGUGAGCAGGAACCCAGCUCCAUCAGCCUGGCAUCGUUCAUGCUGAACAGUGGGAGGCAGGGGGAGAGGGGACAGCCAAAGGCUGAGCCGAGGGGGCCCCGAAGGCGCCCAGGUGGGUAUCCAUCUGCAGGCCAGCCUCAAAAGCCACAUGUUCUACCACUUGAAACUCCCCAUCAUCCUGCCCUUGAAGAUUUGGAGGGAUCCCUAGUGAGUCGGGUUCAUGAGUUCUGGGUCCAGACUGGCUAUAUUCCUGGCUUACUGGGAAAUACUGGGUCAACCCUUCCACUCUCUGGGCCUCAGCCUCCCUUUUGAGAAAAAGGGGUUGUCUGUAGAAGUCCUCGGAGGCUCUCUGGAGAUCCCAGCACCCCCAUUUACCAUGUAGGUAGGUGCCCCCAGACAGAUGGGUGGACAGACUCCUGGUUGGACCCCUCUCUAACUUCUGGGGAGGGGUGCCACAUUUAAGGAUGGAGACCUCAGGGUGGGCCUGGAAGCCUGGACCACAUUCAAUGUCACAGAUGGAGGCUUUUUCUGCUUUGGUUAACCCUCUUUGUGGGUUUUAGGUUUUCAGACCUGGCUGGCAGCUUGGCUGAGUCCUGGUGACUGUUUCCGAGCUGGCUGGGAGCAGAGUGGAGGACCUUGGGGUUGCAAAUCUGUUCUGGUCCUUCCAAGAGUUUAAACGAUCUCAAAUCCAGAGAAACAACCUCUCUCCAGGUUCUGUGUGCCCAGCCGUCACAAAAACCCUCUCUCACACCUGUUCACCCUGCAGCGCGUGGUGCAUCUGAAUUAUUUUAAACGGUUGGGUUUACCACUUAAUUUCUCCACAAGCCCCAUGACUGGCUCCUGGGUGACCCCCCCACCCCCAAAUGGUGGUGACGGACAUGGAGUCAGGGCGCCCGAGGCCAGGAGACAGGCUGUUCUCCAUCGCAGAGGACUGAGAACCAGGCUUGAGGAGCCCGGUUUGCACUCCCCAUUCUCUAUCAUUGAAUGAACACAUGUAUUUUGGUUCCUCUCUGGUUUCUACGUUUUAUGCCUUGAUGAACACAUUGCUGCAGCCAGUCCUGAUGAGGGUUAACUCCUUGUCACUGUAAUAAAAGUUUCGUCUAAAUCUUUCUCAAAUGCUUCUCCUUCCGGUUCCCAGGUGGGUUGCAUGCUGCUGAUUGACCCUAAGUGUUAAUCGCCCCCCUUUGAGAAGCCCUGCUGUGUCAGCCCCCUGCCUCAGCCACACUGGGAUCCUUUCCCUCUACUCAUCUCCAACGCCACAGGGACUGGAGACGGGGCCUGUGUGCACAGCUGCAAGCCACUCUCCUGUGAUCGUCUUUUUCCAGUCGAGGGGUUUCAUCUCCCUUUUAGGAUCUGGCUCCUACCACCAGCCUCUUGCUGUUUCUGGGCAGGACUCACUGUGGGUCCCUGAGCAAGGAAGUCGCUUCACGUCUCCAGCUGUUGAGCAGGAAGAUGGGCCAAUCUGGUGCUGGUUUAUGAAGCCGGAUGGUGUUCGAGGCAGCUGCUCUCGGGAACUUGCUGGGACUGGCUUCUUGCUGCCUGCCUUCUCCGGCCAUCUCUGCCCGGGGACAGAAACCAGGCCAAGUGCCUGGGGAACAUUUAGCUUUUUGUUGUGAGGAGGGAAGAAUUAGAAAGUCAAAUGCUACUAUGGACUGGGAGCCAAGAGAAGGGGGCAGGGAGGCUGGCGGGGCCUGGAGGAGGCUUGGGGCCACAACGGGGGUGGAGAUGGGGGGCGCUUGCCCAUCUUUGGGGGAGGGUUGCCCAUCCUGAGGCUGCUGCAGGAAAGGGGGCAGGGGUUCCCACUCUCUAGUGGGACCUCUCAGCCCCAGUCCAGCGGGGCAGGGCUGACUUCAGGGAGGGGGGUUGAGAAAAAAACUCCAGCCCCAGCAGGGCACUGGAUGCCAGGCAGAGGAGUCAGCGGUGCCAAAUGAAAGGUCUCUGGAGUGUUGGUUAUGUCUCACUUUCUAUAAUAACACCUCCUUUAUUUGGCAUUAUCAGAGCGUGAGCUGUUCUUCCUAAGCGGUUUUUCUAAAGCACGGAAGCGCCUCCCCCAGACUUUAAAAGUUUAACUAUUGGGUUGGCCACAAAGUUCAUUCGGAUUUUUCCAUAGGCUGUACAUCAAACUUUUUAAUUUUUUUUAAAGAAUUGUAAAAUACACAUCACAUAAAAUUUACCAUCUUCCCUGUUUUAAAGUAUGCUUUUCAGUAGUGUUGAGGACAUUCACAUCGCUCUGUAGCAAUCACCUCUGUCUCGCUCCAGAAGUUUUGUCAUUCCCCCAAGCAGGAACUCUGUCCUCGUUAACACUCCCCAUUCCCCUCCCCAGCCCCUGGCAUCCACCACUCUCCUUUCUGUCUCUGUGAAUUAGACCACUCUCUAAGUAAAUCACCAGCAUAUCUGUGUACAUUGUAGUACCUGUACUUCUGUUUCAUUUAUUAACACAUUCAGUUUCCAAAGACAGGAUUUUAUAUUCAAACACAAACUAUUUCAUAACUUGCUUUUUUCAAACCUACUGCUAUCUUGACUCUGGCUGCAGAUUUUCAUGAUUUUAGCAUUUUAGCACAUGAAUAUGCCAUAGAAUCCAGCCAGCUACCUGCUACCUUUCCCGUUUUACCGUUACCAACAGUACAUGUAAUGCACAGUGGUGGUUGUUUAGUCACUAAGUCAUGUCUGACUCUUUUGCAACCCCGUGGACUGUAGCCCUCCCGGCUCCUCUGUCCUUGGAGUUUCCCAGGCAGAAAUACUGGAAUGGGUUGCCAUUUCCUCCUCCAGGGGAUCUUCCUGAUCCAGGGAUCAAACCCAAGUCUCUUGCAUUGACAGGCGGAUUCUUUACCACUGAGCCACCUGGAAAGUGCAUCCUUGGAGCCAUACCUUUGUACAUUAGUUUAUUCUUUCUUUGGUAUAGAUUCUUACAACCACAGUUGGUGGGUUAGAGGGUGUGCACAUUGUUUAAUCUUUUGGAGUCUUUUACUUGUAUUGGCAAAUUGCUUGUCAGAUUUGUUUUGCUUAGUUGUUCAUAUUUUCAUCAACAGCACCGAAGAGGUUUUCCCCAUACCCUCACUGACGCUGAGUAUCGUUGUUUAAAAAUAUCUUUGUCAAUCUGAACGGUGAAAAGCAGCAUCUUGGUUUAAAAAGUAUGCCUUUCUUUGAACAUUUUUUAUUUCUAUGUCUGUUAGCCAUUUGUGUUUCUUCUUUGGGGAAUUGCUUACUCAUGGCCUUUGUGUAUUUUUUCCGUGGGGGAUUAAUAUUGUCUUAUUCAUUUGUAAGAAACUUUGUGUAUCAAAAAUGUAAAUUGUUUGUUAUAUCGAUUGCAAACAGUUUUACUCCAGUUUGCCCUUUGGCUCUAAGUUUGGUUUUUGGUACUUGUGGAUACUAAAAAAAAGCUUUUUAUUUCCUUGUAGAGAUAUGUCUAAGUGUUUUCUUUUUAACUGCUGUCUUUGGUGUCAUUCUUAGCAACCUACUAUGUUAUAGAUACUCAUCUACAUUUUAGUUUAUUAUAGCACUUCUAUAGCUUAAUUUUUCACAUGGAUUUAAAAAAAAAAGUUUAAUGGAUUAAAUGUUGAAUCCAUUCCUAAAUGAUCAGAUGUCUAAUGUGAGGUAAAGAAUCCAGCCUUCCAUUAGCCCGACGUUGUCCUUUUCCCGUUGCUUCAGUGUGUUGCCUUUGUCGUGUGUUAAUUCUCGCAUACUCUUGGUUCUGUUUCUGGACUUUUCUGUCCAAUGAUAGGAAUCUAUGUUCUUUUGCCAGUUCCACACUGUUUUAAUAUUUUAAUUAUUUUAGGGCAUGGUUCCCGUGAUUACAAAAUUUCUUGGCUGUGCUCUUGCAUUUUAUUUCCAAAUGAACUUUAGAAUGAUUUGGUCAACUUGGGAAAAAAAAUUCCUCUGUGAUUCUGAUUGAAAUUGCAUUAAGUUUAUAGACGGAUGCUGAGGGAAUUGGCAUCUUUGUAAUAUUGGGUCUCCUCUGGAACUUCAGUCUGUCUGUCAGCUGUUCACAUAGUUUCCUCACAUAGGUCCCUGUGCAUUUCUUAAAUGUAUCCUUGGGUAUGGUGAAUUGUUUGCAGGAAAGGUGAACGGUAUCAAUUUUCAGUUGUUUUCUAGCUGUUGGCUGUUGGAAUAUAUAAAAAGAUUGAUUUUCAUAUGUUUAUAUAGUAAUUAGUCUGUUCACUGAACAGAGGGUCUCUCUUCUGGGUUUUAUGGGUGAAUCAUCAUGGCACCUAUGGGCUGUAGCCUGCCAGGCUCCUCUGUCCAUGGGGUUUCCCAGGCAAGAAUACCAGAGUGGGUUGUCAUUUCCUCCUCCAGGGGAUCUUCCCAACCCAGGGAUCGAGCCAACAUCUCCUGCGUUGUAGGCGGCUUCUUUACUACUGAGCAUCUUUUGUCUUUUGUCUCUGGCGUCUUUUGUCUCUUUCUUUACAGCAUUUGUGCUGUUCAGUCUCUUUUCUUGUCUUGUUGCAUUGGCUGCACUAGCCAAAACAACGUUAAAUAGUCAGGAUGACAGCAGAUGUCCUCGUCUUAAUUCUGAAAUAAGUGGGAAUGUCUCCUGUGUUUCAAAUUUCUCUGCCCCCUUUGUGUUAAGUGCAACCUAAUCUUCUUUUGGUGUUUGAGAGGCAUUGUUAGUAAUAAUUAAAAAUCAUCCUGUAAUAGUAAUCUCCCCUGGGAUCCAUGGAUCUUACGUAUCUACCUGACUUGUGAGUCCCAAACUUCUGUUUUUCUUUGAUCUUCUUUCUCUUUCUUUUGCUUUAUUGACUUACUGAAACUUUCCUUGGAUCUCUUCCCUUGUUCCCAAGCGGUCUGUUAUCAAUUAUUUCUGUUGUCACUGGGUAUACUUCCAAAAGUUAUCCCUCGCCCCUUCUUUCUUUUUUUAAACCAUUGUUUUAAUUGAAGUCAUAAUCCAUGAGCGUGGAAAACAUUCCAAGCACUGCAUAAGUAAAAAUUCAAAAGCAAAAAUUUUAAACACUGCAGUAAAAAGUGUCUCCCUCUCAUACCAAAUGCUUAUUCACUCCAAAAAAGGCAAUGUUUUGUAUCCUUGCAGAUUGGUUUGAUGUGUGUACCAGGAGAUAUAUGGAUACAUAUCUUUGUAUUUUAAACAUAAAUAGAAGCAUGGUAUUCAUACAGUUAAGUGCAUGUUUUACUUAAUAUGUUGUGACAGUAAUUCCAAAUCAGCACAUAUGGAUUCUUUACUAUGCCAUUGAAUGCAGGUGAUAUAAUUUAUUUAUAUGGUCCCCGAUGUACCUAGAUUUUCCCAGUCUUUUGCUAUACCAAAAACAGCUAGUGAACAUCUGUAAUAAUAUAAGCCUCUUCUCUCCUUUAUUGAUUUUCUGCUCCUAAUCAACUUACUCUGACCUCAUCAAGAAAGGAAAUAGAUGAACUAUUCAACAUUGAAUGUAAACUGAGAAUAAAUAGGUUCUGAAUGAGAG